rnacentral:rRNA from 1 species
GAUGAACGCUGGCGGCGUGCCUAAUACAUGCAAGUCGAGCGAACGGACGAGAAGCUUGCUUCUCUGAUGUUAGCGGCGGACGGGUGAGUAACACGUGGAUAACCUACCUAUAAGACUGGGAUAACUUCGGGAAACCGUAGCUAAUACCGGAUAAUAUUUUGAACCGCAUGGUUCAAAAGUGAAAGACGGUCUUGCUGUCACUUAUAGAUGGAUCCGCGCUGCAUUAGCUAGUUGGUAAGGUAACGGCUUACCAAGGCAACGAUGCAUAGCCGACCUGAGAGGGUGAUCGGCCACACUGGAACUGAGACACGGUCCAGACUCCUACGGGAGGCAGCAGUAGGGAAUCUUCCGCAAUGGGCGAAAGCCUGACGGAGCAACGCCGCGUGGGUGACGAAGGUCUUCGGAUCGUAAAACUCUGUUAUUAGGGAAGAACAUAUGUGUAAGUAACUGUGCACAUCUUGACGGUACCUAAUCAGAAAGCCACGGCUAACUACGUG